CUUCGGGGUACACGAGCGGCGAACGGGUGAGUAACACGUGGGUGACCUGCCCCCUACUCUGGGAUAAGCCUGGGAAACUGGGUCUAAUACCGGAUAUGACUGCUGGUUGCAUGACUGGUGGUGGAAAGUGUGUUCUUGAUUGAGCACUUCGGUGGGGGAUGGGCCCGCGGCCUAUCAGCUUGUUGGUGGGGUGAUGGCCUACCAAGGCGACGACGGGUAGCCGGCCUGAGAGGGCGACCGGCCACACUGGGACUGAGACACGGCCCAGACUCCUACGGGAGGCAGCAGUGGGGAAUAUUGCGCAAUGGGCGGAAGCCUGACGCAGCGACGCCGCGUGGGGGAUGACGGCCUUCGGGUUGUAAACCUCUUUCGGCCCCGACGAAGCGUGAGUGACGGUAGGGGUAGAAGAAGCACCGGCCAACUACGUGCCAGCAGCCGCGGUAACACGUAGGGUGCGAGCGUUGUCCGGAAUUAUUGGGCGUAAAGAGCUCGUAGGCGGUGUGUCGCGUCGGCCGUGAAAACCUGCAGCUUAACUGUGGGCUUGCGGUCGAUACGGGCAUCACUGGAGUUCGGCAGGGGAGACUGGAAUUCCUGGUGUAGCGGUGAAAUGCGCAGAUAUCAGGAGGAACACCGGUGGCGAAGGCGGGUCUCUGGGCCGAUACUGACGCUGAGGAGCGAAAGCGUGGGGA
rnacentral:rRNA from 1 species